AUUGAACGCUGGCGGCAGGCCUAACACAUGCAAGUCGAGCGAGCGGCGGACGGGUGAGUAAUGUCUGGGAACCUGCCUGAUGGAGGGGGAUAACUACUGGAAACGGUAGCUAAUACCGCAUACCAUCAGAUGUGCCCAGAUGGGAUUAGCUAGUAGGUGGGGUAAUGGCUCACCUAGGCGACGAUCCCUAGCUGGUCUUAGAGGGUGACCAGCCAUACUGGAACUGAGAGACGGCCCAGACACCUACGGGAGGCAGAAGUGGGGAAGAUUGCAGAAUGGGCGCAAGCCUGAUGCAGCCAUGCCGCGUGUAUGAAGAAGGCCUGCGGGUUGUAAAGUACUUUCAGCGAGGAGGCGUUACUCGCAGAAGAAGCACGGGCUAACUCCGUGUCAGCAGCCGCGGUAAUUC
rnacentral:rRNA from 1 species